ensembl:lncRNA
UUAAAUGAUGAUGUAACUAACCCUGCAGUAGGCCCUGCAGAAAGGCUUUAUUAGGUAUAAGCACAAGGCUGUGCAUUUCGGAACACCUUGGCAGACUUACCAAAAUUGAGAUAAAUAGAGAUUCUCAUAAGAGUGGAUUUUUUAUUUCUGUUGUACCCUUACUUAGCUGAAAUUGCAGACGUGAUUGCAUUUUACCUGGGAAUAUCUCCUGCAGGAGUGGUACAAGCUGAAGUAGGAAAUAGCUUCAGACAUUGAAAUUCAUGGCAUUUUUAGUGUAUCAGUAACCUCAAACAGCUCUUGUUAAUUGCUGAAGAAAUGCUGCUUUCACUUCUGAGACGGCAAUGGCAGAUGUCAGCCAAGCCAGGAAUAUGACAACAUUUCUCAGCUGGAACAUCUCCUCUGCAGACUUCCAUAGAUGCAGCAGACAAGGCCUAAUUGCACCUCUCUGUUCUCCGGUGGGUGAAAACGUGUUCAUUGCCAUGAUCUUCCCAUGAAGCCACAGAACUUAGUUAAGAGGAAUAAGAUCAGGAGGUAAAUGCUUCUGGAGCUGAAUCACCUAACUCUUGUGCUAGGUCCUAGAACUGCCAAGUUCAAUAACAGCCCCUUUGAAUCUGCAAAGGGAGAAAAAUGUCAAAGCAAGACUCAUAGCAAUCAAUGAAAGGUGAUCUUGGGACAAAUCAAAGUACUGCUGGAGAAGAGCAGUGAUGGAAAGAGCUCAUCUUUGAUUGGCUUUGGAUAGAGUAAUAAGCAAAAUUUCCCCCAUAACUAAGGUCUUAGUUAACAUACAUGAACCAGAGAUUCAGUGGAAGGUGUAUAGUGAAGGCAGCAACAACCCACAGACAUUACAAGCCAUUUGUCUUUGAGUGAGCCAUUGGGGAAGAUGAGAAAGUUCCUCUCCCCAGUGGGUGUCACAGCAAGCUUUGGCAUACCAAUGCGUUCACCCAUAUUAUCACCACAGAGCAAACCGAGGGUGUUCUUAACCAUAACACAGAGUCAAAUGCAGCCACUCCUGCAAAAUUUCACAGAAUCUGGAAAACCAGACCGCGUGAAUGUCCUUUCUUCAAAUGUGGGAAACACUAACUCAGCCAUGCUAUCCUCCACGGCACCUUCUUGAAGGAUUGUGUAUGUACCUAUCGAAAUCCCUUCGAUUUCAUGGUUUUUCACUGGCUACUGAUACCAAUGAAGUACUUCAGGAAUCUGUCCAUGCCCAUAGCAGCUGCUUUGCACCUGGUUUUAUGGGAAACUGUGAAAUGAGAUUUUCUCAAGAUUUUUUGGGGGUUGAGACUGGGCCGAGACCUGACACAUUUAAAACAACUAUAUGAAGCUUUAUUACACAAGGAAAAUCACACGCUUUGGAAGAAUUCGUGACUCGAAGUCUAAUGAACGAUCAGGACCUCAUAAUUCAUGUUCUGAUUUUUUACUGAUUUAUGAUGACUUAUUUACUUAUUUAUUUUAAUCAGAAGGGCUGAUUAUGGUGACUAAUCCCAGAAAAAUCUUUCAUGUUAAGGGUAAAUCACAGAGGAUUUGCUUUUCUGUACAUAAAUAACUCAGAGAAUAAACAUAAUACUGUCAACUAAUUUUCAGUUAUUUAAAAUACUGUGCUAAGGCUGCUUGAAAUUUUUCCAUCAAGAUGGAAACUGGAU